UGGGGAAUAUUGGACAAUGGGCGAAAGCCUGAUCCAGCCAUGCCGCAUGAGUGAAGAAGGCCUUUGGGUUGUACAGCUCUUUUCGUGAGGAAGAUAAUGACGGUACUCACAGAAGAAGUCCUGGCUAACUCCGUGCCAGCAGCCGCGGUAAUACGGAGAGGGCUAGCGUUAUUCGGAAGUAUUGGGCGUAAAGGGCGCGUAGGCUGGUUAAUAAGUUAAAAGUGAAAUCCCGAGGCUUAACCUUGGAAUUGCUUUUAAAACUAUUAAUCUAGAGAUUGAAAGAGGAUAGAGGAAUUCCUGAUGUAGAGGUAAAAUUCGUAAAUAUUAGGAGGAACACCGGUGGCGAAGGCGUCUAUCUGGUUCAAAUCUGACGCUGAAGCGCGAAGGCGUGGGGAGCAAACA
rnacentral:rRNA from 1 species